UAAAAUAUUAAUCAACUAUCAACCAAAACAAAAAAUAAAAAUAAAUCGAAUAUGCAAAAUUGAUUAUAAAACAAAGAAAAAAAAAAAACCAAUUUUUGAGAUCUAAUCAGAAAAUGUAAUACAAAGUGACAAGCAUCCACUUUCAAUUUAGGAGGGAUGGUAUGGAUUGAGAGGAGAUGGGAUGAUGUAUUGAUUAGACAGAGUAUUAAAUAAGUUUAAUUCUUUAAUUUAGAAAAGUUCAAAGGGGAGAGUGGUGUGAAUUAUAGAGAGGAAGAGAGGGAAAUUAUAUAUAUUGUGUGUGUGUGUGUGUGUGUGUGGAUUGAGAGGAGAUGGGAUGAUGUAUUGAUUAGAGAGAUAUUGAAUAAGUUUAAUUCUUUAAUUAGAAAAGUUCAAAGGGGAGAGUUGUGUGAAUGAUAGAGAGGAAGAGAGGGAUAUAUGUGUGUGUGUGUGUAUCUCUGUAUGUAUAUAUUUGUGUGUGUGUGAGUGAGUGAGUGGGUGGGUGGGGAGUUAUAUGUAUAUGUACAUGCAUAUGCAUGCAUUCAUGAAGAGGGAGAGAGAAGAGUGCAAAUUCAUGAGAGAAAGUAGGUGAUGGCAUGGAUUAAGAGGGACUCACAUCAAAACAGAAGCAAGAAUUUGGUGGAGUUUGGAAACUGGCUGAAUUAAUAGCCAAAUUACUGCCAAAAUCACAAUUUAAGUGAUACCCUUGCAUUACUAGGUUAAGCGAUGAAUUGAUAAAAAAUAAAAGAGAAACAGAAUAAGUUUAAAAAGGAAAUAGUUACUCUAGUUGAAAGUUAUGGUUGCCAAAGAGAGAUUGGUUGUUUUGGGAUGCAAAGUGGAGGUGGGAUCUCAAGACAUGAGAAAAUGGAUGAGGAAAAGGGCAUAUACUUCUGUAUUUGCUACACACAGACAUGUCAUUAGAAAUUGUUACUUUCUAAUUUUUUGAAUUAAAAAAAAAUGUCAAUCAGGAAUAAAAUCUGACAGAUGGAAUCUCUGUGUGAUAUUCUACAAUUUGAAAACUUCCUUGUUAUAGUAUGAUUAUAGAUUAUGUUAAACCGUUGCUGUCAAAAUGAUUAUAGAUUAUGUUAAACCGUUGCUGUCAAAAUUUGCACAAUGCUUUUUUUUUUUGGUAAAUCCUUAUGUGUCAAGUGUUUAUUGUAAAGGUACAAUGGUUUUCACCCUAGGCCUUUUCAGAGUUCAUGGCAACCACCAUCAACAUUAUCAUAGGCUUUGUUUGAGUAGUUUGAGUCUCUGUCCUAAGGCGCUGCACGGGCUUUGGAGUCUUGUUCAUAGGUUUGUUUGAGUAGUUUGAGUCUCUGUCCUAAGGCGCUACACAAGCUUUGGAGUCUUGUUUGUAGGUUUGUUUGAGUAGUUUAGAGUCUUUGUCCUAAGGUGCUACACCAGCUUUGGAUUCUUGGUUCAACUCCUACUAACUCUUCCAAAGCUUCAAUCCUCAUUUCAGUUAAGCAUUUUUUCUUGUUACUUUUUUUUAUCGAGAUUAAACUUGGUUUAAUUAUAUAUCAUUUAUGUAAUUUUAUUUUAUUUUGAUUUGCGUGUACAUGCUUUGUUAUUUUGUGAAAUGGAAGGACCAAAUGUAAAGUUUUAAUAUUGAAAAUAAAUAGAAAUUUCUUUCUAGGGGCUUCUAAGUCCUAGUUUUUAUAGAGUUUGCUUGUUUAUGCUUGAAGUUACUCUUUGUUUAGGAAUGUUCGUCUUUCUUUUGUAACCAUAUAUGACAGACUCUGGUUGGUCUCCUUACCAGGGCCUCCUUAAAUAUGAGGUUCAUGGAUUAAAAAUUGCCAGAACAGGAUGAUACAACUUGUAAUAUCAUUCCAACAUGAAACUGGCAUCGUAUGGUUGUUAGGACACUGAAGCCCUUAGUACCAGUAUGUAUUGCUGUGUUGAUCCAUACUGGUACAUAUUGAUGGUACCAAACCAACCAUAGCAAUUUGUAUCGAUGGCUUUUCUUUUUCCUUUUUUUUUUUUCUAGCUGCCAGAUUCUGAUACCAUGGCUACCGGUAUUGUAUUGAUAUUGUACUAUUCUGAAAACAGUAAGGGCUUGCUAUUGGUAUUCAAAACCUUGAUGCGCGCACUUAAUGAUUCCUUAGAAUCUUUACCAAUCAUUUUCUAAUUGCUACAAAUCUAAAACCUGCGACAGUUCCUUAAAGAGUUCAUGCUUGAUUACAUUUUUCUAGUGCAUUCAUCACAAUGAAUCAUUCAACAAUACAAUCUAGGAUUUACUAUGACCUUAACAGAAAUUUUCUAGUCAUCGAGGCAUUACAUUCACGAUUUACCAGACUAUCCAUUUGAUUUCCCCUUCCAUCUCUGCAACAUUUAGCAUAUCCAAUAUAACAAAUGAAAUCAUAUUUUGAAAUUGGGAUCCAGUUGGGGCCUUUUUUGUUCCUAUUAUUACUAGAAUUGCAUAUUAUUAGUCUGUUCUAGUUUUACUAAAUUUUAAGCCCUUAAUCACCUAAGCUUGCCUCUGUAGUUCUGGAUUUAGUAUCCCAUUCUAUCAUUAUCUCAGUAACUAGCAGCACAUUUUGUAUAAGUAAUACUGCAUAUUCGCAUCUCGAAUAUCUAUUUUCUAUUGACUUUAAGAGAUGGCCCAAGGUUAACUGCAAGUGUCACUGCCUGUCCUCAACAAUUUAUGGGUGCCUUCUUAAGUGCUCUUGCUUCCAUAAUGCCCACCAAAAUAUGGCAUUUGGCAAUUUCUUAAGUGCUAUCUCUCAAUUGAUAUAGAUAACGUUAGAAAGUAUCUUCUUGCAAAAUCCACCUAACAUUUUCCGAAGUGAUUUGAUACUGGCUUUAUGAUUAUGUUUUGCCAUUUAUUUUACUAUGCCAUAAAUCAUACUGCAAUUUGUUGACAUUCUUGAUUAAAGCCUAAACUGGGGUUCAUUUCCUGAUCAUUUUUACCAUAGUGGCACGCUAAAAGUAUGGAGGCAGAACAAUGAUUGAAAAGUUUAUGAAAUUCAGAAAUAAUAGUGGUAAUGAAUAUAUAAGAGGAAAUUUUGGUGAAUCCAGCAGAGUUGUCAUUAAUGUACAUCAUUGCUGAUAUUUUUGUAGUACUUGCAGUAGUUUCCCUUGUGGUUAUAAAAAAGAAAAAGAAAAACUUUGGGAAUAUAGCAAUGAUAAUGAAUUACCGAACUUUUAGUAAUAAGGGUUCUGCUUAGACAGCUGUAUGAUAGGUGAUGACCUGGUUAACCACAUUAUGAUAUGUUUCCAUUGGAAUGUGAUGGAUCUUGUUAAGAUACAGCUUCUUACUCACUUUGAUGAUGAUAUGUAAUUGCAUUGGCUAUGAGUUAAAGUGAUGUUGGCCUGCUGUAGAUUAUUUU
rnacentral:lncRNA from 1 species